rnacentral:rRNA from 1 species
UACGUAGGGGGCAAGCGUUGUCCGGAAUCAUUGGGCGUAAAGCGCGCGUAGGCGGCUUGGUAAGUCCGCUGUGAAAGCCCGGGGCUCAACCCCGGGAGGCGGGUGGAUACUGUCAAGCUCGAGUCCGGAAGAGGCGAGUGGAAUUCCUGGUGUAGCGGUGAAAUGCGCAGAUAUCGGGAAGAACACCCGUGGCGAAGGCGGCACUCUGGGACGGUACUGACGCUGAGACGCGAAAGCGUGGGGAGCGAACAGG